rnacentral:rRNA from 1 species
GGCGUGCUUAACACAUGCAAGUCGAACGAUGAAGGAGGAGCUUGCUCCUCCGGAUUAGUGGCGAACGGGUGAGUAAUACGUGAGCAAUGUGCCCUGUACUCUGGGAUAAGCGCUGGAAACGGCGUCUAAUACCGGAUACUACGAUCGGAGGCAUCUCCUGGUCGUGGAAAGAACUUCGGUCAAGGAUCAGCUCACGGCCUAUCAGCUAGUUGGUGAGGUAACGGCUCACCAAGGCGACGACGGGUAGCCGGCCUGAUAGGGUGACCGGCCACACUGGGACUGAGACACGGCCCAGACUCCUACGGGAGGCAGCAGUGGGGAAUAUUGCACAAUGGGCGCAGCCUGAUGCAGCAACGCCGCGUGAGGGACGAAGGCCUUCGGGUUGUAAACCUCUUUUAUCAGGUAAGAAGCGAUAGUGACGGUACUGCAGAAAAAUGCCGGCUCAACUACGUGCCAGCAGCCGCGGUAAUACGUAGGGUGCAAGCGUUGUCCGGAAUGAUGGGGCGUAAAUAGCUCGUAGGCGGUUUGUCACGUCUGCUGUGAAAACCCGAAGCUCAACCUCGGGCUUGCAGUGGGUACGGGCAGACUAGAGUGCGGUAGGGGAGAUUGGAAUUCCUGG